UAGCGUAGCACUCGUGACGCGAAUUUCCUGCAGCAGGAUGUACGCAAUCGUACACAGGCGAGUAAUUUCGUGGACACUGUGAGUGUAGAAUGGGUCGUUAUAGCCGGAUUAUGCGUCAACGAUUUGCACGAGAUUGGGCAACGUUUAUAAUUAUCGAUUAGACAAUCCGUUUCUUACGAAGCUGUCGUUGUGACAUCGUAUACGGAAAAAAAAUGUAAAUUAUUUGGAAUACUAAGCGGAUUGCGAGUAUAGUUAUGAAUAUUGCGGUUUUACACACUGAAACUUGGUUCUAUUCGAAAUCCGAUACACAGACACUUCUAAUCUUUUUUUAGUAGGUACGAGACUUCCUACAUAGAUAGCGAUAUGAAUAUUCAAUUCAAGCAAUAAUCGCAACAGAUUGAACAGUUUCUCUAUAUAUACGAUGGCGGAAAAGAGAUAGCAAAGGAUAAGCAGUACGAGAAACAACAUAACUUGAUCAUCAAGUAAAUAUAAUACAAUAAGUAUACAAGAUUGGGGUCUGAUGAAUUUACAACGUAAAAAGUGUCCUCUACAAAAGUUAGCGCAUAAAAUAUCAGUAUUUUGGAAUCUUUCGGAAAAUCUACAAUAGGAUUACGUUCAACAAAGGCCAGAAUCUGCUGAGAAAUGCUUUUCGAUGAAAAUUACGCUUGAAGAAGAAGCAAGCACUCACCGAAAUAGACUGGCUUGUCGCACUUCGGACAGUUGGGCAUGAUGGAACAGUUUGGUUCUUGUUGGAACAACUACGGAAGCGUCGAACAGGCUCCACUCAGCAGCGUGGUCAAGCGCGUACUGGGCCCGCGCGUUCUGCAAGAUUCGUUAUCGAAAACGCAUAGCCAAGUACAGGGCUGUUCAUGAGUAUUCAGAGAUGGUCGGAGUCGAUCGGUAUACUAGCGUGUAUACGUAAAUAACGGGGCGGAUAGAAACAAUAGGAAUGCAACCGAACGAGAUUGUUGAG